rnacentral:tRNA from 1 species
GGGCCCGUAGCCUAGUGGACAGGGCACCAGCCUUCUAACAUAUUUUAAGGUAGAUAGCUGGUGAUCGCGGGUUCAAAUCCCGCCGGGUCCG